rnacentral:tRNA from 1 species
GUUGCUUUGGCAGAAUAGUGUAAUAGAUUUAGGAUCUUUUUAUGUAGUGGGGAAUUACAAGUAACA